AGUGCUUUUCGCCCUCUCAAGCCUCACCCUUAGCAUAGUAGCACCAAAGCUGCUAGCUCACUGCGACACCGUCAGAGAGUCGGUAACUGGGAGACUUAGAGAGUUCUCACUCUUCAAUCCUUCACUAAAAGCAGAGUUUCUUCCAGACGUCAAAACAAUGUCCGUUAGGUUCCUCCUCCUCAGCCAAUUUACAAAGUUAACUUUGAUGGAGCUGUGCUUAAUGAUGACAGAAAGGCCGGUGUUGGGGUGGUGAUCCGAAAUAAUUUGGGACAGGCUAUGACUUCUAUGACAGAGAAAUGUAAUCUCCCCACAUCAGUUGAAGAAGUUGAGGCUAUGGCAGCGGUCAGGGCAGUUGGUUUUGCUCAAGAACUGGGGUUUUCAUCUAUUGUUCUUGAGGAGAUUCAAAGAUAAUUAUGAAUUCCAUAAAAAAUGAUGUACCUUCUUUUGCUUCUUAUGGUCAUUUGAUUGAGGAGACGAAACUUUUAACAGAAUCCUUUGUUGUUUUUAGUGUUUCUCAUGUUAAAAGAUAAGAGAAUUCUGUAGAUCACAAUUUUACUAGAUAUAUUAGACAUAUUAACGAUUUGUCGAUGUGGAUAAAAAGUGAUCUUUCACAUCUUAAUGUUGUAA